GACGAACGCUGGCGGCGUGCUUAACACAUGCCAGUCGAACGGAAAGGCCCAACUUUUGUUGGGUACUCGAGUGGCGAACGGGUGAGUAACACGUGAGUAACCUGCCCUUGACUUUGGGAUAACUUCAGGAAACUGGGGCUAAUACCGGAUAGGAGGACGUGUUGCAUGGUGGGGGUGGGAGAGUUUCGGGGGUUGGGGCUGGACGCGGGGUUUAGCAGCUUGUUGGUGGGGUAGUGGCUUAACAAGGCUUUGGCGGGUAGCGGGCCUGAGAGGGUGACGGGCCAUAUUGGGACUGAGAUAGGGCACAGUCCCCUACGGGGGACAGCAGGGGGGAAUAGUGCACAAUGGGCGGACGCCAUAUGCAGCAACGCCGUGUGCGGGAUGACGGCCUGCGUGGUGUAAACCGCUUGCGCGUGUGACGAAGCGUGAGUGACGGUAAUGGGUAAAGAAGCACCGGCUAACUACGUG
rnacentral:rRNA from 1 species